GAUGAACGCUGGCGGCGUGCCUAAUACAUGCAAGUCGAGCGAACGGACGAGAAGCUUGCUUCUCUGAUGUUAGCGGCGGACGGGUGAGUAACACGUGGAUAACCUACCUAUAAGACUGGGAUAACUUCGGGAAACCGGAGCUAAUACCGGAUGAUAUUUUGAACCGCAUGGUUCAAAAGUGAAAGACGGUCUUGCUGUCACUUAUAGAUGGAUCCGCGCUGCAUUAGCUAGUUGGUAAGGUAACGGCUUACCAAGGCAACGAUGCAUAGCCGACCUGAGAGGGUGAACGGCGACACUGGGACUGAGACACGGUACAGACUCCUACGGGAGGCAGAAGUAGGGAAUCUACCGAAAAGGGCGAAAGACUGAAGGAGCAACGCCGCGUGAGUGAUGAAGGUCUUCGGAUCGUAAAACUCUGUUAGUAGGGAAGAACAUAUGUGUAAGUAACUGUGCACAUCUUGACGGUACCUAAUCAGAAAGCAACGGCUAACUACGUG
rnacentral:rRNA from 1 species